AAUUUUGUUUUCUUAUUGUAGAAAUCACUGCAUUCAGUGACCAAUAUGCAGAAUUCGAGAAGAUUAAUACUGAAAUAUUGGGCGUUUCUGUAGACAGUGUGUUCUCCCACCUUGCAUGGGUUCAAACAGACAGAAAAUCUGGCGGUCUUGGUGAUCUGAACUACCCUCUGAUUUCUGAUGUCACAAAAUCGAUUUCAAAAGCUUUCAAUGUGUUGAUUAAAGACCA